AGGUAUAUCUUAUGGCAAUAUAUUUACAAAUUCCCUCAAGUAGGUAAUAAGAAUCCAUACGCAUGGCGGCUCCUGAAGAGGCCCGAAAAGUCAGUGUCGGUUCAGCACAAGUACAGCCUGCUGCAGAUGGACCGACAGCAACUUUAACCCUUGAUGCCGGAACAUUGAAACAAAAAUGGCUGAAAGUUCGUGCGUACACUACCGUGUCGGUAGACCUACCAGACAUGAUAUGCAUCGCCAUAGUUAUUACAGCGGUCAUUAUUCUGGUGAAGAAAAUGUGCAACAAGUUUUUACGUAGACGUCCGGCAGGACGUGGACGGCAGAGAAGACCCUCAUGUCCCUGUUGAUAUCGCUGAAAUAUUGGAUUCCAGAAUGUCGGGCAGAAACCUUGGUCUUGAGACCAGAUCAUCCGAAGUACCGAUGACUGCGAGUGAACAUUACCUGAUAAUUUUGGUUGCUCUAGGAAUAUUGUUUCUUUCCCGAGAUAUCGUGGUUCAUGAACUUGAUUAACCGAGUGUUACAGAAAGACAAUUGUUUUGAAUCAAUA
rnacentral:lncRNA from 1 species